ensembl:snRNA U2 U2 spliceosomal RNA
AUCGCUUCUUGGCCUUUUGGCUAACAUCAAGUGUAGUAUCUGUUCUUAUCAGUUUAAUAACUGAUACCUCCUCUUUCCAAGACAAUCUAUUAAAUGAAAUGAUACAAACGAACUUAC